rnacentral:rRNA from 1 species
UACGAAGGGGGCUAGCGUUGUUCGGAGUCACUGGGCGUAAAGCGCACGUAGGCGGACUUUUAAGUCAGGGGUGAAAGCCUGGAGCUCAACUCCAGAACUGCCUUUGAUACUGGGAGUCUCGAGUGUGGAAGAGGUUGGUGGAACUGCGAGUGUAGAGGUGAAAUUCGUAGAUAUUCGCAAGAACACCGGUGGCGAAGGCGGCCAACUGGUCCAUUACUGACGCUGAGGUGCGAAAGCGUGGGGAGCAAACAGG